GUGGGGAAUCUUAGACAAUGGGGGAAACCCUGAUCUAGCCAUGCCGCGUGAUCGAUGAAGGCCUUAGGGUUGUAAAGAUCUUUCAGCUGGGAAGAUAAUGACGGUACCAGCAGAAGAAGCCCCGGCUAACUCCGUGCCAGCAGCCGCGGUAAUACGGAGGGGGCUAGCGUUGUUCGGAAUUACUGGGCGUAAAGCGCACGUAGGCGGAUUGGAAAGUUGGGGGUGAAAUCCCGGGGCUCAACCCCGGAACUGCCUUCAAAACUCCCAGUCUUGAGGUCGAGAGAGGUGAGUGGAAUUCCGAGUGUAGAGGUGAAAUUCGUAGAUAUUCGGAGGAACACCAGUGGCGAAGGCGGCUCACUGGCUCGAUACUGACGCUGAGGUGCGAAAGCGUGGGGAGCAAACAGGAUUAGAUACCCGUGUAGUCC
rnacentral:rRNA from 1 species